GCAGCUUUCAAUCCUUUGCAAAAGUUUGCUUUGCACUUGAAGAGAAGAGUGGAAACUAUUUUAGUAUGUAAAUUAAUGUUGAAUCUGAGCCUUCUUUUCCACGUUGCCUUCUAAAUAUUUUUUUAAUGUUAUUUAAUAUUCUCUAGAUUUAUUCUAUUUUACAUAAUUUAGUUUUUUGAGUAGUGAUGGUUUCUAUUUUUUGGGGGGACUGACAAAUUUCUACUUCAUUUUGUGCAGGAAAAUUUUUUUUAUAUCCGCUGGUUUACUGUGCCAUGCUAUUAUUUUCACGUAGUUUAAUAUUGAUGGUUUCGGUAAUUAAUUGGACUUCGUUUAAGGCUUUGUUUGGUUUCAGGUUUCUACUAUGUUCAGAUUUUUACUUAUAGAUCCUGCUACAUUACCUAUCUCAAACUCUCUCUCUCUCUCUCUCUCUCUCUCUCUCUCUAUCUCUCUCUCUCUCUAUAUAUAUAUAUAUAUAUAUAUAUAUAUACAUAUAUAUAUAUAUACAUUGAGUAUACUUGGUUCUAGAAAUAGAAUGUAUAUUGGGUGUUUCCUGUAUGUAGGUUUAAUUUAUAUAGUGAUUUGGAGAUUUUGGCUUGGCAAGAAGCAAACAGUGCAUUAUGUUUCCUAGAGAAAAAAAAUAUGCUGAAAGAAGCGAACUAUUUGAGCUCAUGUUUAAUUGUCUCUUUUCUAACAAGGCAUAUGCAAAGUGUGCUAUGACUUUCUAUUUUGUUUUGAAAAGUAUGGUUACCUCAUCCAUCUGAUUGUGGUGCUAACUGCGGUUGAUCAUCUUUUCCUUGCUGUACCUAUGAGAAUAAAGUGACAAAUUACAACGUUUACAAGAAGGGGCUUACGUCUAAAAGAUGAGCACAUCUGGUUGUGCUCUUCAUUGAGGCGAUGAUGAUAAGUUGAGGGAAGUGCGGAAAAUAUUUGCUUCAAACAAGUUGAGGUUUGGACGGCCUACUCAUAGGCAACCGCCUCAUAUUGUCUUACCCUUGGUGGUUGCGCACAUUUCCCUCUAACGGUAAUUUAUUGCUCGGCAACCGGAAAGUGUGGAAAAUGUUACUUCGAAUAAGUGGAAGUUUGGACGGCCUCCUCAUAGGCACCCGCUACAUAUUGUCUGACCCUUGCUGGUUGUGCACAUUUUUCCACAAUGGUAAUUUAUUGCUCAAGACCCGCUUCCUACCAUUCUUAUUCUUAGUGGCUGCGCACAUUUCCCUCCUACGGUAAUCUAUUGGUCCUACUACUACCCUAUACUUAUGAGCAAUGUUGCCGAGUUCUUUUGAGCAAUGUUGCCGAUUCGACUUAACUGAGCCUUCCUUUUUGUCCUCUUUUUGGGUGAUUCUUUAAAUUGGUUUUGCAACAGAAUUUAUACAAUUGUUUGAAUUGUUCCC